UACGUAGGUGACAAGCGUUGUCCGGAUUUAUCGGGUUUAAAGGGUGCGUAGGCGGUUUUGUAAGUCAGUGGUGAAAUACUCUAGCUUAACUAGAGGGGUGCCAAUGAUACUGCAGAACUUGAGUACAGAUGAGGUAGGCGGAAUUGACGGUGUAGCGGUGAAAUGCAUAGAUAUCGUCAAGAACACCUAUAGCGAAGGCAGCUUACUGGGCUGUAACUGACGCUGAGGCACGAAAGUGUGGGGAUCAAACAGG
rnacentral:rRNA from 1 species